rnacentral:rRNA from 1 species
UACAGAGGGUGCGAGCGUUGUUCGGAAUUACUGGGCGUAAAGCGCGCGCAGGCGGCCUUUUAAGUCUGACGGUGAAAUGCCGGGGCUCAACCCCGUGCCCGCCGGAGAUACUGGGAGGCUGGAGACGAGUAGAGGCAAGCGGAAUUCCGGGUGUAGCGGUGGAAUGCGUAGAGAUCCGGAAGAACACCGGAGGCGAAGGCGGCUUGCUGGGCUCUGUCUGACGCUGAGGCGCGAAAGCGUGGGGAGCGAACCGG